UACGGAGGGGGCUAGCGUUGUUCGGAAUUACUGGGCGUAAAGCGCGCGUAGGCGGCUUUGUAAGUUAGAGGUGAAAGCCCGGAGCUCAACUCCGGAACUGCCUUUAAGACUGCAUCGCUAGAACGAUGGAGAGGUAAGUGGAAUUCCGAGUGUAGAGGUGAAAUUCGUAGAUAUUCGGAAGAACACCAGUGGCGAAGGCGACUUACUGGACAUCUGUUGACGC
rnacentral:rRNA from 1 species